CGGCACCAGCCAGGUUAUCUUUGGAAACACAGGAUAGACCCACCUCCUUAUGUUCCCCAGGUCCCAAGCAGACAGCACCAGCCAGCUUGUCCUUGGAAGCGGAGAAUAGACCCACCUCCUUAUGUCCUCCAGGCAGCAAGAUUUCAGACACUCGUCCACCAGCAAAAGCGAGUCUGGGCAACCGAUGAUUUCCCACGGCAUCAAAU